rnacentral:rRNA from 1 species
GACGUAGGGGACGAGCGUUGUCCGGAUUCAUUGGGCGUAAAGCGCGCGUAGGCGGUUACGCAAGUCGGUUGUGAAAAUCCGGGGCUCAACCCCGGACCUGCAUCCGAUACUGCGUGACUAGAGGUAGGUAGGGGAGAUCGGAAUUCCUGGUGUAGCGGUGAAAUGCGCAGAUAUCAGGAGGAACACCGGUGGCGAAGGCGGAUCUCUGGGCCGUACCUGACGCUAAAGCGCGACAGCAUGGGGAGCAAACGGG